rnacentral:tRNA from 1 species
CCCCUGGUGGCUCAGACGGUAAAGCGUCUGCCUGCAAUGCAGGAGACCCGGGUUCGAUUCCUGGGUUGGGAA